GCCCUUGUAGCCCAACCGGAAGAGGCGCUUCGCUUAGAACGAGGAGGUUACUGGUUCAAAUCCAGUCAGGGGCA
rnacentral:tRNA from 3 species